GACGAACGCUGGCGGCGUGCUUAACACAUGCAAGUCGAACGGAAAGGCCCUGCUCUUGUGGGGUGCUCGAGUGGCGAACGCGUGAGUAACACGUGUGUAACCUGCCCUUGACUUUGGGAUAACUCCAGGAAACUGGGGCUAAUACCGGAUAGGAGCUCCUGCUGCAUGGUGGGGGUUGGAAAGUGUCGGCGGUUGGGGCUGGACUCGCGGCUUAUCCGCUUGUUGGUGUAGUAGUGGCUUACGAAGGCUUUGACGGGUAGCCGGCCUGGGAGGCGGACCGGCCACAUUGCGACUGCGAUACGGCGCAGACUCGUACGGGCGGCAGCAGUGGGGAGUAUUGCACAGUGGGGGGAAGCCUGAUGCGGCAACGCCGCGUGCGUGAUGACGGCCUUCGGGUUGUAAACCGCUUUCGCCUGUGACGAAGCGUGCGUGACGGUAAUGGGUAAAGAAGCACCGGCUAACUACGUG
rnacentral:rRNA from 1 species